CUCCAUGUUCUAAUGGUUUUUUUGGAAUUUUUGGGGAUGCCAAAAAGGGGUUUUGGUGUUGAUUCAUGGUAUCUUUUCUUGAAAAAUCCUUAUUCCUAGUCUAUAAAAAGGGGACCCCUCUCUUGGACAUCCCAUAAUCAAUUCUCUUGUAGAUUUUUUAUUUUUAGAGCCUCUUCUCCUCCUCCUCUCUUCUUUCUCUAGAUCUCCUAUUACUUUGGAUUAUCCAAGGUGCUUGUAGAAGAAGGAAGAGAUCAGCUGUCGAAGUUGUUCGCAGACUAGCAUCUCUAAGCCCC
rnacentral:lncRNA from 1 species